rnacentral:lncRNA from 1 species
GCUGUUUCAAUAGGAAGGCUUUAUAUGGUUAUGAUCCUGUUUUGACUGAGGAAGAUUUGGAGCCUAACAUUAUUGUGAAGAGUUGUUGUGGUUCUACUAGAAAGAAGGGAAGGGGUGGCAAGAAGAACACUGACAAGAGGGGACUUAAAAGAACAGAAUCGACCACACCUAUCUUUAAUAUGGAGGACAUAGAGGAGGGAGUUGAAGGUAUGCUAAUAUGAUAAUUGUUAUCUUAACUCUAAUUUAAGUUGCUUAUGCAUGUAGAAUUUCAUAUGUUGAAUUUCAUGCAAUUUCAUUUUACCCCCUAUCCCACUGAUCAGCUUCACAAGUAAUUUAUACUAGUUUGCCAUAGUUUGUUUGCCAGAUAUCUAGGCAUGAUUGUCUGAAAGAUGAGAUGACAAUGUUGUUUCCUUCAUGAUAUCUAAUGCAUUCUUUUGCAGGGUAUGAUGAUGAAAGGUUACUUCUUAUGUCUCAAAAGAGCUUAGAGAAGCGUUUUGGUCAGUCUCCAGUUUUUGUUGCUGCUACCUUUAUGGAACAGGGUGGCAUUCCACCUUCAACCAACCCUGCAACUCUUCUUAAGGAAGCAAUCCAUGUUAUCAGUUGUGGUUAUGAAGACAAGACGGAAUGGGGAAAAGAGGUGAAUAUGUCUACUUAUCAUUGUGCUUUUGAUUCUGGCCCUCUGCUAUAAAGAAAUUUGAGAUGUGAGAUUAAUGAGUAGAUUUUUUUAGUUUAUUAAUUAAACAUUUUCUGACCUCACCAGAUUGGAUGGAUCUAUGGUUCUGUGACUGAAGAUAUUUUGACUGGGUUUAAGAUGCAUGCUCGUGGUUGGAUUUCCGUCUAUUGCAUGCCACCUCGCCCAGCAUUUAAGGGUUCUGCUCCCAUCAAUCUUUCUGACCGUCUCAAUCAGGUGCUUCGGUGGGCCUUGGGUUCAAUUGAGAUAUUCCUGAGCAGACAUUGCCCCUUGUGGUAUGGCUACCAUGGGAAGUUGAGAUCUCUGCAGAGACUUGCUUAUAUUAACACCAUUAUCUACCCCCUUACCUCAAUCCCAUUGAUUGCUUACUGUAUUCUUCCUGCAUUUUGUCUUGUCACAAAUAAGUUCAUUAUUCCCGAGGCAAGUAUUUUUCCUCUAUCUCAUUUUUCUGAUAAGCUUUUAUCAUUUAUGUUGUGUUCCAGCUGAUAACAUUAACAUUUGGUUAAUUUUAUUUCUUUUACUCUUCACAGCUUUGGCUAAAUUUCAUUUCUUUUUUGUACCUGUCAGAUCAACUUGAAAGGUCUUGAUGGUAUUCAGGGCCCAGUCUAUGUGGGAACUGGUUGCUGUUUCAAUAGGAAGGCUUUAUAUGGUUAUGAUCCUGUUUUGACUGAGGAAGAUUUGGAGCCUAACAUUAUUGUGAAGAGUUGUUGUGGUUCUACUAGAAAGAAGGGAAGGGGUGGCAAGAAGAACACUGACAAGAGGGGACUUAAAAGAACAGAAUCGACCACACCUAUCUUUAAUAUGGAGGACAUAGAGGAGGGAGUUGAAG